GAAUUCGCCCUUGAGUUUGAUCCUGGCUCAGGAUGAACGCUAGCGGCAGGCUUAACACAUGCAAGUCGAGGGGCAGCACGGGUAGCAAUACUUGGUGGCGACCGGCGCACGGGUGAGUAACGCGUAUGCAACCUACCUUCAACUGGGGGAUAGCCCAGGGAAACUUGGAUUAAUACCCCAUAGAACUUGAAUGCCGCAUGGCAAUUAAGUUAAAGUUCCGGCGGUUGGAGAUGGGCAUGCGUGCCAUUAGGUAGUUGGGGGGGUAACGGCCCACCAAGCCAUCGAUGGCUACGGGGUCUAAAAGGAUGGUCCCGCACACUGGUACUGAGACACGGACCAGACUCCUACGGGAGGCAGCAGUGAGGAAUAUUGGUCAAUGGGGGCAACCCUGAACCAGCCAUGCCGCGUGGAGGAAGACGGCCCUAUGGGUUGUAAACUCCUUUUGUACGGGAAUAAAAGUACCCACGUGUGGGUGCGUGAAGGUACUGUACGAAUAAGCAUCGGCUAACUCCGUGCCAGCAGCCGCGGUAAUACGGAGGAUGCAGGCGUUAUCCGGAUUUAUUAGGUUUAAAGGGUGCGCAGGCGGCCCGAUAAGUCAGCGGUGAAAGUUUGCAGCUUAACUGUAAAAUUGCCAUUGAUACUGUCGGGCUUGAAUUCGGUAGAGGUAGGCGGAAUGUGUAGUGUAGCGGUGAAAUGCUUAGAUAUUACACAGAACACCGAUUGCGAAGGCAGCUUACUAUACCGCGAUUGACGCUCAGGCACGAAAGCGUGGGUAGCGAACAGGAUUAGAUACCCUGGUAGUCCACGCCGUAAACGAUGAUAACUCGCUGUCGGCGAUAGACCGUCGGUGGCCAAGCGAAAAGCGAUAAGUUAUCCACCUGGGGGAGUACGACCGCAAGGUUGAAACUCAAAGGAAUUGACGGGGGCCCGCACAAG
rnacentral:rRNA from 1 species